rfam:Eubacterium plexicaudatum ASF492 genomic scaffold acLZb-supercont1.5, whole genome shotgun sequence.
GCAGGUAUCGUACAUCGGUAGUACACCAGCUUCCCAAGCUGGUAAGGUGGGUUCGACUCCCAUUACCUGCU